GCCUUAGCUCAGUUGGUAGAGCAAUGGACUGAAAAUCCAUGUGUCCCUAGUUCGAUUCUUGGAG
rnacentral:tRNA from 1 species